rnacentral:tRNA from 1 species
GUCAGGAUGGCCGAGCAGUCCAAGGCGCUGCGUUCAGGUCGCAGUCCACUCUGUGGGCGUGGGUUCGAAUCCCACUCCUGACA